rnacentral:rRNA from 1 species
AUACGUAGGUGCCAAGCGUUAUCCGGAUUUACUGGGCGUAAAGGGCGUGUAGGCGGUCUUGCAAGUCAGAAGUGAAAUUCCUGAGCUCAACUCGGGCGCUGCUUCUGAAACUGCAGGACUUGAGUGCUGGAGGGGAUAGCGGAAUUCCUAGUGGAGCGGUAAAAUGCGCAGAUAUUAGGAAGAACACCGGUGGCGAAGGCGUCUAUCUGGACAGUAACUGACGCUGAGGCGCGAACGCGUGGGGAGCAAACAGGAUUAGAUACCCUGGUACUCCACGCCGUAAACGAUGAAUACUAGGUGUAGGGGGUAUCGACUCCCUCUGUGCCGCAGUUAACACAAUAAGUAUUCCGCCUGGGGAGUACGGCCGCAAGGUUGAAACUCAAAUGAAUUGACGGGU